rnacentral:lncRNA from 1 species
AGGUAUGACCAAAUUACAAAAACACCCCUCUUGUUUGGAUAAUUACAACCACCCCCUCAACUCAUCAAAUUUAGUGGAAUCUUCGAGAUUAUAUGGAAUAUUAUCACUUUUGUACCCAUUUUAUCCCAUUCAAACUCUACAUUAUGAAGCAAGAUGACCAUAAUAUGUGAUUUUUAGCUUGUAUAUAUUAGUUUGUGGUGCAUCGGAAACUGUAUUUUUUACACAAAAAAAGUACAAACUAGAGCACAUUUCACGGAAUCUAGAUGACUAUGUUGAAUUUGGCACCAUAAAGGUGGAG